rnacentral:rRNA from 1 species
UACGGGGGAGCAAGCGUUGUUCGGAUUUACUGGGCGUAAAGGGCGCGUAGGCGGCCACCGCAAGUCGACUGUGAAAUCUCCGGGCUUAACCCGGAAAGGUCAGCCGAUACUGCGGGCUAGAGUGCAGAAGGGGCAACUGGAAUUCUCGGUGUAGCGGUGAAAUGCGUAGAUAUCAGGAGGAACACCGAUGGCGAAAGCAGGUCUCUGGGCAUUAACUGACGCUGAGGAGCGAAAGCAUGGGGAGCGAACAGGA